GUUAUUUAGUCGGAUGUUAAAUGGGGUUUCUGUUUCACCAACAUAUUGUAAUUUGCAAGUUCCACACGUUAGAACAUAAAUGCAAUUUUGCGUUUUGCAAUUUGAUGUUAUAAAUAUGUUGUAAUUUUUCUUUGUGACUGUGCUGAUGAACUGGGUUUCUAUAUUGGCGACUUUGCAGCACUUACAAUUGCCCCUUCCGCAUUGUUUAUAACCUCCGAUUGUUGAUAUCUCCCGUUUA
rnacentral:lncRNA from 1 species